CGUGUGGUUCUAUUUUGUUGGUUUCUAGGACCGCCGUAAUGAUUAAUAGGGACAGUCGGGGGCAUCAGUAUUCAAUUGUCAGAGGUGAAAUUCUUGGAUCUAUUGAAGACUAACUACUGCGAAAGCAUUUGCCAAGGAUGUUUUCAUUGAUAAGGAACGAAAGUUAGGGGAUCGAAGACGAUCAGAUACCGUCGUAGUCUUAACUAUAAACUAUGCCGACUAGGGAUCGGACGAUGUUAUUUCUUGACGCGUUCGGCACCUUUCGAGAAAUCAAAGUGCUUGGGCUCCAGGGGGAGUAUGGUCGCAAGGCUGAAACUUAAAGAAAUUGACGGAAGGGCACCACCAGGGGUGGAACCUGCGGCUUAAUUUGACUCAACACGGGGAAACUCA
rnacentral:rRNA from 1 species